AUGCUUCCCUGGUGCAGGGGCCUCGUUACUCACCGAGGACGAGCAUCCACGACGAGGCGCGGGCAUUGCACUGCGCUCGCGUUGACUCCUGCCACUAUCCCAAACUGGGUCAGACGGGGAAUGCAAAUUGGU
rnacentral:snRNA from 1 species